AGGCUUUGAUCCUGGCUCAGAUUGAACGCUGGCGGAAUGCUUUACACAUGCAAGUCGAACGGCAGCACGGGUGCUUGCACCUGGUGGCGAGUGGCGAACGGGUGAGUAAUAUAUCGGAACGUACCCAGUAAUGGGGGAUAACUAGCCGAAAGGUUAGCUAAUACCGCAUACGCCCUGAGGGGGAAAGCGGGGGACCGUAAGGCCUCGCGUUAUUGGAGCGGCCGAUAUCUGAUUAGCUAGUUGGUGGGGUAAUGGCCUACCAAGGCGACGAUCAGUAGCUGGUCUGAGAGGGUGACCGGCCACACUGGGACUGAGACACGGCCCAGACUCCUACGGGAGGCAGCAGUGGGGAAUAUUGCACAAUGGGCGCAAGCCUGAUGCAGCAACGCCGCGUGAGGGACGACGGCCUUCGGGUUGUAAACCUCUUUUAGCAGGGAAGAAGCGAAAGUGACGGUACCUGCAGAAAAAGCACCGGCGAAAA
rnacentral:rRNA from 1 species